rnacentral:rRNA from 1 species
AACAAUACGGGGCUUAAUUCUUGUAAUUGGAAUGAUGGGAAUUUAAACCUCUUCCAGAGUAUCAAUUGGAGGGCAAGUCUGGUGCCAGCAGCCGCGGUAAUUCCAGCUCCAAUAGCGUAUAUUAAAAUUGUUGCAGUUAAAAAGCUCGUAGUUGAAUUUCUGCUGCAUUACAUAUCUCUUGUUUGAGUUUGUUUUUGUGGCUUAUUUCGGUUUGAUUUUUUCUUUCCGGAUGAUUACUUUGAGAAAAUUAGAGUGCUCAAAGCAGGCUUUUGCCUUGAAUAGUUUAGCAUGGAAUAAUAAAGUAGGACUUUGGUUCUAUUUUGUUGGUUUUAGGUACCAAAGUAAUGGUUAAUAGGAACAGU